UGAGGAAUAUUGGUCAAUGGACGCAAGUCUGAACCAGCCAAGUAGCGUGCAGGAUGACGGCCCUAUGGGUUGUAAACUGCUUUUAUAUGGGGAUAAAGUGGGGAACGUGUUCCCUUUUGCAGGUACCAUAUGAAUAAGGACCGGCUAAUUCCGUGCCAGCAGCCGCGGUAAUACGGAAGGUUCGGGCGUUAUCCGGAUUUAUUGGGUUUAAAGGGUGCGCAGGUGGCUGAUCAGGUCAGUGGUGAAAAGCUAUGGCUCAACCAUGGUCUUGCCAUUGAAACCGUAUAGCUAGAGAAGAGACGAGGUAGGCGGAAUGUGUGGUGUAGCGGUGAAAUGCAUAGAUAUCACACAGAACUCCGAUUGCGAAGGCAGCUUACCAGGCUUUAUCUGACACUUAGGCACGACAGCGUGGGGAUCAAACAGG
rnacentral:rRNA from 1 species